AACGAACGCUGGCGGCGUGCCUAACACAUGCAAGUCGAGCGAGAAAGUCCGCAAGGAUGAGUAAAGCGGCGCACGGGUGCGUAACACGUGGGUAAUCUUCCUUAGAGCCCGGAAUAACUCCCCGAAAGGGGUAGGCUAAUACCGGACGUAAGAACCACCGGGAGUCUUCGGUAGUCCUGAGGGAAAAGGACGGCCUCUGUAUACAAGCUGUCACUCUGAGAUGAGCCCGCCGGCCCACUCAG
rnacentral:rRNA from 1 species